UUGACCUCAAAUCAGGUAGGAUUACCCGCUGAACUUAAGCAUAUCAAUAAGCGGAGGAAAAGAAACUAACAAGGAUUCCCCUAGUAACUGCGAGUGAAGAGGGAAAAGCUCAAAUUUAAAAUCUGGCAGCUUUGCUGUCCGAGU
rnacentral:rRNA from 1 species